rnacentral:rRNA from 1 species
UACGUAGGUGGCACGCGUUGUUCGGAAUUAUUGGGCGUAAAGGGCGCGUAGGCGGUUUGUUAAGUCGGCUGUGAAAGCCCGGGGCUCAACCCCGGAGGGUCGGCCGAUACUGGCGAACUAGAGUACGGAAGAGGUAGCUGGAAUUCCCGGUGUAGCGGUGAAAAGCGUAGAUAUCGGGAGGAACACCUGAGGCGAAGGCGGGCUACUGGGCCGAUACUGACGCUGAUGCGCGAAAGCGUGGGGAGCAAACAGG